GAUGAACGCUAGCGGCAGGCUUAAUACAUGCAAGUCGAGGGGCAGCAGUUUUGUAGCAAUACAGAAGCUGGCGACCGGCAAACGGGUGCGGAACACGUACGCAACCUUCCUUUAACUGGGAGAUAGCCCACCGAAAGGUGGAUUAAUAUCCCAUAAUAUAACUGAAUGGCAUCAUUUAGCUAUUAAAGCUCCGGCGGUUAAAGAUGGGCGUGCGUCUGAUUAGGUAGUUGGCGGGGUAACGGCCCACCAAGCCUUCGAUCAGUAGCUGAUGUGAGAGCAUGAUCAGCCAAACGGGCAAUGAGACACGGGCCCGACUCCUACGGGAGGCAGCAGUAAGGAAUAUUGGUCAAUGGACGCAAGUCUGAACCAGCCAUGCCGCGUGGAGGAUGAAGGCCCUCUGGGUUGUAAACUUCUUUUCUUUGGGACGAAACCCCUGUUUCUACGGGGACUGACGGUACCAGAGGAAUAAGCACCGGCUAACUCCGUGCCAGCCGCCGCCGUAACAC
rnacentral:rRNA from 1 species